UGCUACCAGAAGAAACAAAAGAGGGAAAAGGGCUUGGAGGAAAUGGGGAACGCCGAGGGAAGCAGGGGAGGAAAAGAGGCGCGGGCUAGCGCUGGCGGGCCUCGCCGUCACCACCGAGCUGCUCACCGCUUGCCGCCAUCACGAAGAGGACCAGAAUCGAGUAAUGGGGAAGAAGCCACGCGGCAAAGGAGAGAAGAAUAGGAACUCACUGCGUCACCGUCACCCACGGGGCUGCGAGCUGCGCCCAGUCACCGUCGGGGUCACCGCGUCGUCAUCCUUGCCAGCUCCAAACGAGAAGCACAGUGGAGCUCCGUUUCUGCUUCCCUGGUCUGCCGUGAGUGAGCGCCGUUGGAGCCACAUCGCCGUGUCCUUCACUGUCAUCGCCGAGUUGGGAGAGAGAGGAAGCGUCGCAACAGCUGGCUCCCGAGAAGGGAAAAGUUCAUGUAAAGAGAGAGCGAGCUGCGGGGAGAGGGAGGCCGUGCGUUCAGUCGUGCACAUCACCGCCCAAGGACCGCCGCUGCUGCUGCCAGAAACCGCUACUGAUUUGGGGCUGUCAUAUGUUACGUUGUCGCUGUCGAAGAACCUGCGGCUCUGUGUUUCCGACCGCCGAUGGUGGCGCAGGUGUUGCUGGAAACACCAUCGAAACUGCCGCUGCUCGGUGUAAUUGUUCUUCCUUUGUUGCGGUUCGAGUUUUGAUUGCUGGUGUUCUGGUCGCCGGGGGUAGCACGGUUGUUGCCGAAACCACCGUCGGAGCUACCACUGCUUGAUUCAGCCGCUCUUUCUUAGUUUCAGGGUUAGAAUUCGAGUUUACUUGUGGCGUUGAGGUUGUUUCUUCUAUUGAGGAAAACACGCGGAGCUGGGAUUUUGAUUGUUGAUUUCGAGUUGAGGCGAAAAGGACUCUGUGAGACGUUUGGGUUAUGGAUUUGUGUUUUGAGGAUAUGGGCGCUGAAGUCACGAAGAGUUUAUUUAAUUGUUAUUGUGAUGUUCUAUAUUGCUUUAGAUUGUUACUUAUCGUACCCUCGCCUUUAUCUUGAUAUAUUCUGUAAGAGGGAUAGGAAUUGUAUUGGAUAAUGCUUGUAAUAUUAUUUAUAUGUAUAUGUAUAUAUAUGGGUGUACUCCUUAUGAGUUUUUGUAAGUUGUAUGAUAUCUAUGGAUGUACGUUAUCGAAUGAAGUAUCUUGGGAGCGAUAUUGCGGUAAAAAUUUUUAAACAGGCUCAUAUUUUUGUAUUAAAUAUAAUAAGUGUCGUCGUAAUGUCCGAUCUAUCAGAGUUGCGCAGCCGGAAGCGUGAGCUUUGGUAGUUAGGGUGUUACAAUCAACGCGUACGCGUGGGUGUGAAAUUUUCUUAAUGACGCGAGAGCGUCGGGCACGCGUCCGCAUGCCCUUGGUUUUGUGCGAUUCGCGCGAAGCCAGCCGCGCGCACGCGCAUUUCUCUAUUCGCGUGGCUAGGGAACCAAUAUUAGCAUACGACGCGUGCGCGUCAAGCACGCGCACGCGUCAGUGACGCGUACGCGUGGUCAAAUUUGUGCGUCUAGCACACUUCCUACCGCAAACCAACAUAACUCUCUGCCUAAACACUCUUACGUCGAUUUUUCAGGUCACGUGUACGCGUCGCUGACGCGCCCGCGUGAAUGGUGAAAAUCACAAACGACGCGCAUGCGUGGGGUACGCGUACGCGUGGGUUUGUUUGUGCUAGAGGCAUCAUUCUUGCGCCACUCCCGCGCAACCCUCUGUUCAAAUUUAUUUUUCACGCACACCCAUCUGACGCGUACGUGUCAACGACGCUUGCGCGUCGUGUGCCCUCUUUUUUUUUGGUUCCUGUUCUAAAAUAG